CUGCCAUGAUGGUACCAUUUUUCGUCAGCAGUAUCUCACACCCAGUGUGAAUGGUGACUCCUGUGGGCUGAGCAG
rnacentral:snoRNA from 1 species